UCGACUUUCGUAUUUACUUUAUAGGUCAAUUGGAAAAUAAUGUAACAUUAACAACGUUGACUUAAUAUACAUCUUCAUAGUUCUUUGUAGUUAAUGCAGAGAUGAGAGACCAGCGAACAGCACUCCCUGUAAGUGAGUAUAAGAGAACGUGUACAGCUGCAUUGCUCCCAAGGACAGUCUGGAGUGUCCUAAGUGCACUUCCGAUAGAAGUAAAAAUGGUAAUCUGUGAAGAGGAUUCCAG